AGAGUUUGAUUAUGGCUCAGGACGAACGCUGGCGGCGUGCCUAAACUAUGCGAGUCGCGCGGGGUUUUAUUGCAAACCGCAAGGGUAGCGAUAAGACCUAGCGGCGAACGGGUGAGUAACGCGUGAGUAACCUACCCCCGGGACCGAUAACUCCGAGAAAUCGGGGCUAAUACCGGAUAGGAAGUCCGUCCUCAUGGGCGGGCUUGGAAAGGAGCAAUCCACCCAGGGAGGGGCUCGCGUCCUAUCAGCUUGUUGGUGGGGUAAAGGCCUACCAAGGCUGCGACGGGUAGCCGGUCUGAGAGGAUGGCCGGCCACACUGGGACUGAGACACGGCCCAGACUCCUACGGGAGGUAGCAAGUGGGAAUCUUGCACAAUGGACGAAAGUCUGAUGCAGCGACGCCACGUGAGGGAUGAAGGCUCUCGGGUCGUAAACCUCUGUCGACAGGGAAGAAUAAAUGACGGUACCUGUCGAGGAAGCCUCGCUAACUCCAUGCCAGCAGCCGCGCAAGACGGGAGAGGCUAGCGUUGUCCGGAAUGACUGGGCGUAAAGCGCGUCCGCUAGGCGGGAUUUUAAGUCGACGGUGAAAGCCUCUCGCUCAACGAGAGAAUGGCCGCCGAUACUGAGAUUCUUGAGGGCAGGAGAGGAGAGCGGAAUUGCCGGUGUAGCGGUAAAAUGCGUAGAAAUCGGCAAGAACACCCGUGGCGAAGGCGGCUCUCUGGACUGCUUCUGACGCUGAGACGCGAACGUAGGGGUAGCGAACGGGAUUAGAUACCCCGGUAGUCCUAGCCGUAAACGAUGGUCACUAGGUGUCGGGAGAUCGACCCUUUCGGCGCCSAAGUUAACGCAUUAAGUGACCGCCUGGGGAGUACGGCCGCAAGGCUGAAACUCAAAGGAAUUGACGGGGGCCCGCACAAGCGGUGGAGCAUGUGGCUUAAUUCGACGCAACGCGAAGAACUUACCAGGGCUUGACUGUUGCAGAAUCCGGUGAAAGCCGGGAGUGCUCUUCGGAGAGCUGCAAAACAGGUGGUGCAUGGCCGUCGUCAGCUCGUGUCGUGAGAUGUUGGGUUGAGUCCCGCAACGAGCGCAACCCUCACUGUGUGUUGCCAGCGGUUCGGCCGGGAACUCACACGGAACUGCCUCGGUAACGAGGAGGAAGGUGGGGUUGACGUCAGGUCCGCAUGCCCCUUUACGCCCUGGGCUGCACACAUGCUACAAUGGAGAGUACAAUGGGUUGCAAAACCGCGAGGCAGAGCUAAUCCCCAAAACUCUCCCCAAUCCGGAUUGUAGUCUGCAACUCGACUGCAUGAAGUCGGAAUCGCUAGUAACCGCAAAUCAGCAACGUUGCGGUGAAUACGUUCUCGGGCCUUGUACACACCGCCCGUCAAGCGAUGAGAGUCAGGUGCACCUUAAGUCGCUGGCCUAACCGUAAGGGGAGGAGGCGCCCACGGUGCGACUGGCGAUCGGCGCUAAGUCGUAACAAGGUAGCGUAUCGGAAGGUGCGGCUUGGAUCACCUCCUUUCU
rnacentral:rRNA from 1 species